rnacentral:tRNA from 1 species
GCGAUUGAAGUGUUCUGGUGGCACGCCGCCCCGCCAAGGCGGAAGCGCGAGUUCGAUUCUCGCCGAUCGCACC